CAGGAGGACAUGUUUUUCUCAAUUACUAAAGUACACAUAACAAAUUAUUUUCAGCACAAAAUACAAUCUUCCAUCUAAACAGUAUAGGGGGCAUUGAAUGACUUGAAGUUUCAUAUAAAGGCUGGAUUUUUUUAUUUUAGCAAGAAGAGUGUCAAACCUGUGUUCAGGUUUGAAGAGAUUGAAUAUCCUUAUGAUUCACCAUUUGUUAACAAAUGGCAGAAAAGUGAAAAUGUCAGAAAAGUGAAGUUUCAUAUAAAGGCUGGAUUUUGUUAUUUUAGCAAUAAGAGUGUCAAACCUAUGUUCAGGAUUGAAGAGAUUGAAUAUCCCUAUGAUUCACCAUUUGUUAACAAAUGGCAGAAAAGUGAAGCCAGCAGACCCA
rnacentral:lncRNA from 1 species